rnacentral:lncRNA from 1 species
CUCAUUUCUGGUUUUGUUUUUGUUUUUGCUUUUUUUUCUAAAUUGAUGUCCUUUCUUUGACUUCUGUAGCUGUAAAAAUAUCUGAUUUACAUCUGCUUGAGACUGAAGCUUGAAGUGAAAAGUACUGGGCAAUUAUUUCCCACUUUGAAGAGAACAUAUCUCUUGUGAGAGAAGGAAGACAGUUAGUCCAAGCCUUACUUCUAUUUCUCUAAAGAACAUCAUCCAUUUAAAUGUCCUGUAAGAAUACCCUAUACUGUAAGAGACAUUUUUGCACAACCAGGAUUUAAGAAUGGGCACCUAUGUAGAAAUGGGAUUGGACAUAAGGGUGUGCCCUAAUGGUG